GGAAAACUAAAGUUGUUGGCUUUUGAUGAAUGGGCGUUGUACGAGCUCUGCUGACCUGCCGCAUACACUAAUUGAUUACUUUUAACGUUAUAUAUAACUUAAUUGCUCAGACCCUGAGACUUCACUUACUUUCAUUACUCUACCUGCAACUCUCACCACCCUUUUUCUCUUUUUCUUCUUCUUCAUUUUUCAAUCUUUUAUUAUACACACGUGUAUUUACGU
rnacentral:lncRNA from 1 species